rfam:Bacillus sp. FJAT-25509 Contig9, whole genome shotgun sequence.
CCGUGCUAGGUGGGGAGGUAGCGGUGCCCUGUACUCGCAAUCCGCUCUAGCGAGACUGAAUUCCACUCCGAGGUGUAUCUAUUUCAGGGUCUGCCUUAAAUAAGUGGUGUUGACGUCUGGGUCCUACGCAACGAGAACUCAUGAACCUUGUCAGGUCCGGAAGGAAGCAGCAAUAAGUGAGCCAUCUCGUGUGCCGUAGGGGUGCCUGGGCCGAGCUAACUGUUUAAGUAACGCCUGGGGUAGUGCAUCGACGAGUGGUGCACGG